GGUGUGAUGACGAGGCACUACGGUGCUGAAGUAACAAAUGCCCUGCUUCCAGGAAAAGCCUCUAAGCAUCAGGUAACAUUGAAUCGUACCCCAAACCGACACAGGUGGUCAGGUAGAGAAUACCAAGCGCUUGAGAGAACUCGGGUGAAGGAACUAGGCAAAAUGGUGCCGUAACUUCGGGAGAAGGCACGCUGAUAUGUAGGUGAAGCCCCUGCGGGUGGAGCUGAAAUCAGUCGAAGAUACCAGCUGGCUG
rnacentral:rRNA from 1 species